GUACCUUGUCUCAAAACACCCUAAUAUACGCUAGCAUAACGCCACCGUUCCUCCACUGUCUCCCACCGUCCACCGCCAGCUGGAAAUUGCCUCUGCCGCCGGCAAUACUCCGAUGACCCCCAAAACUACACCACAUCACAUCCUCGACCUCCUCUUUCCAUUUCUGUCAUUAGUGUCCCUCGAACAUAAGCCAAUCUUGUCGAACAAUUGUUUGAAUCGAUGGCUGCUCGCCGCACACCGCGGCGCCGAUGGCAAAUGACUCCAAAAAACCAUAGGUUCUCCGAACCUCCCUCAUCCCAAAUCUGUAAACCUUAGCCCUCGAAUGUCAGCCGAGCUCCUCGAAUGUUAAAUUGAAAUCUCCGGCCAAAUCUCACCAACCUCCAAACCUCUUCAAAAUCAUACCCUAUGGUCUCCUUGAUCGCCUCACCCCAAAUUCCAAACUAAAAUCCCUCAAACCCGGUUGGAAUCCCACCAAUUUUGGAUCUUGGGUUUCAUUUUAAAGAGGUCUAACCCUGAAUGGAUUUUUAAAUAUGCAAGUGAUCCCAAGUUAAUGUGAUUUGUUUGUUUUUGGCAAAAUAAACAUAUAACAUUAGCUUAGGAUCAAAUACAAGGUCAAUUCAAGUUGCGACCUAAAAAAGUGAGUUCUGAUCCUUUUCUUUCUUUCUUUGUUCUUUCUUUUUAUUUGCAUGUUUCUUCUGUCGUUCCUUUGCAUAUUUUCUUUUGCUUUUGGUUGAAUUAGAAUUUUUUGAUUUAGGUCUCUGAUUUUCAUAUAUUACAGCCGUAUAGUGUUAGUUUGUCCAUAUUUUGGAUUUGAUUAUGUGUUUUGACUUUGAGUAAAUGUCCAUGCUUGCCACUGAUUUUCUUUAGAUUUUUAGUAUUAUAGUUUUAUUGACCAUAUACUGGCUGUUAAUUUUCCCUAGAUUUUAGUUAGUUUCAUAGUACAACUGCAUGUGUGAGUUAUUAAUUUGUUCAUCUAUUUCUUCUGUUAGUUCAGUGAUUAGUUCAAGUGAUAAAAAACAGCUUUAAUACAUGGCACUAUUUAGAGUUAAUUUUCAGGUAGGUUAGUUAGAUUAGUUCAGUCUUUAGGAUUCGUUUUGGUAUGGCUGAGCAUGACCAGAUUAGUUUUAAAUUAACCUUAGUCAUUGUUGAUCAAGUUCAAGGGCUUAGGAUUAAUUGACUUAGCCUUAAGUUAAUCACUAACUCAAUUAAGCUACUCCUGCAAUUAUUUCUUUAGGUUUUAGUUUUCAAAUCUAGGUAAAUAACCUAUUUAGAUUGGGAAUGGUCUUUGACCCAAUUGGCUAAGCUUCAGCCUAUCCAAAUUGGAUUUGGGCCACUGGGUCAGACCUUGGCCCAUUUGAGGAAGGUCUCAGGGGUAUAUAUUGGUUAUCUCAAGGGUAGUUUGGGUAGUUUACAUAAAGGAUCUUGCAGUAACCAAUUUGGAACACCCUAGAACCUUCUAGAUUAGGUUUUAAUUAGAAUUUCAGAAAGUUAGUGGUAUAACUUGGGCAACAAGCCAAUAACUAAGGGACUAACUAAGCAAGAACUGAAAAUAAAGGAGGGACUUAGGUUGUAAAGUGAAAUCUGAAAGUUGCCAUCGGCUUUGCCUAUAAAAGGGAUACCCUUUGCCUUGUUUUAGGGGAUUUUUGGAUUUUUAUUAUUUUUGGCCUAAAAAAAAUUCUGAAAAAAAUCACAUAAAAAAAAUUCUUAGAGGUCAGAGAUCCAAAAUUUAAAAAAAAUAAAUCAAUAUCCCGUUGAGUUUUCUUAGGGAGAUCCUGAAGUUCUAAGUUCUGAGUUAGAUUUCCAGCUUAUCUAAGGGUUGAAAAUGGCUUGAAUUCUCGGGUGAUUCAGUAAUCGUGGUUUUCAGAAGUUCCUGGAGUCAUUCCUGGGUUUACUUGAGUUUAUUCAAGUUGUUUUUUUUUGUGUUGUUCAUUGGUGUUAUUUGAGUAAAAUUACUGCCUGGGCUACCUGAUAGUAUUUUCUGGGUGGAAUUACUUCAAAACUGCUGUUAAUUGCUGUGUGCUGCUGCUACUUAGCCGAACUUCGAUUUUUCUCUCAUUUUUGUUCAAAUUCUAGGUACACAUUAUGUAGCUCUCAAGUUUGGAAAUAAAAAUGAAAUGCUGCCUGAUUUCCUUGUUGAUUUUCACUGUUGUGUUUUUAGGAGUUUCAGAACUUCAGUAGAUCUUCAUUUGUAACUGAACUGUUCAGGACUGUAUAAUACUUUAAAAGAUUCCAUUUCCUUCUCAUAAUCAUAUGAACAUUGCAUUUAGAAGUGUUAUAUUCAAAUUAGAUUGAGUUUGAUGUUUAUGUUACCGUGUAUUAG
rnacentral:lncRNA from 1 species